GGGGGAUAUUGCACAAUGGGGGAAACCCUGAUGCAGCGACGCCGCGUGGAGGAAGAAGGUUUUCGGAUUGUAAACUCCUGUCGUUAGGGACGAUAAUGACGGUACCUAACAAGAAAGCACCGGCUAACUACGUGCCAGCAGCCGCGGUAAAACGUAGGGUGCAAGCGUUGUCCGGAAUUACUGGGUGUAAAGGGAGCGCAGGCGGGAAGACAAGUUGGAAGUGAAAACCAUGGGCUCAACCCAUGAAUUGCUUUCAAAACUGUUUUUCUUGAGUAGUGCAGAGGUAGAUGGAAUUCCCGGUGUAGCGGUGGAAUGCGUAGAUAUCGGGAGGAACACCAGUGGCGAAGGCGGUCUACUGGGCACCAACUGACGCUGAGGCUCGAAAGCAUGGGUAGCAAACAGGAUUAGAUACCCUGGUAGUCCACACCGUAAACGAUGAUUACUAGGUGUUGGAGGAUUGACCCCUUCAGUGCCGCAGUUAACACAAUAAGUAAUCCACCUGGGGAGUACGACCGCAAGGUUGAAACUCAAAGGAAUUGACGGGGGCCCGCACAAGCAGUGGAGUAUGUGGUUUAAUUCGACGCAACGCGAAGAACCUUACCAAGUCUUGACAUCCGUUGACCGACAUAGAAAUAUGUUUUUCCUUCGGGACAGCGAGACAGGUGGUGCAUGGUUGUCGUCAGCUCGUGUCGUGAGAUGUUGGGUUAAGUCCCGCAACGAGCGCAACCCUUAUGGUCAGUUACUACGCAAGAGGACUCUGGCCAGACUGCCGUUGACAAAACGGAGGAAGGUGGGGAUGACGUCAAAUCAUCAUGCCCCUUAUGACCUGGGCUACACACGUACUACAAUGGAUGUUAACAGAGGGAAGCAAGACAGCGAUGUGGAGCAAACCCCUAAAAACAUUCUCAGUUCAGAUUGCAGGCUGCAACCCGCCUGCAUGAAGAUGGAAUUGCUAGUAAUCGCGGAUCAGCAUGCCGCGGUGAAUACGUUCCCG
rnacentral:rRNA from 1 species